rnacentral:rRNA from 1 species
AUUGAACGCUGGCGGCAGGCCUAACACAUGCAAGUCGAACGAGCGGCGGACGGGUGAGUAAUGUAUGGGGACUGCCCGAUAGAGGGGGAUAACUAAUGGAAACGGUAGCUAAUACCGCCUACUAUCUGAUAUCCCAUGUGGGAUUAGCUAGUAGGUGAGGUAAUGGCUCACCUAGGCGACGAUCCCUAGCUGCACUGAGAGGAUGAUCAGCCACACUGGGACUGAGACACGGCCCAGACUCCUACGGAGGCAGCAGUGGGGAAUAUUGCACAAUGGGCGCAAGCCUGAUGCAGCCAUGCCGCGUGUAUGAAGAAGGCCUUAGGGUUGUAAAGUACUGUCAGUCGGGAGGCGUUACCGACAGAAGAAGCAACGGCUAACUACGUGCCAGCAGCCGCGGUAAUAC